GAGUUUGAUCGUGGCUCAGGACGAACGCUGGCGGCAGGCUUAACACAUGCAAGUCGAACGGGUGUAGCAAUACAUCAGUGGCAGACGGGUGAGUAACACGUGGGAACCUUCCUCGUAGUACGGAACAACUCAGGGAAACUUGUGCUAAUACCGUAUACGUCCGAGAGGAGAAAGAUUUAUCGCUAUGAGACGGGCCCGCGUCGGAUUAGGUAGUUGGUGGGGUAACGGCCUACCAAGCCGACGAUCCGUAGCUGAUCUGAGAGGAUGAUCAGCCACACUGGGACUGAGACACGGCCCAGACUCCUACGGGAGGCAGCAGUGGGGAAUCUUGGACAAUGGGCGCAAGCCUGAUCCAGCCAUGCCGCGUGAGUGAAGAAGGCCUUAGGGUUGUAAAGCUCUUUUGGCAGGGACGAUAAUGACGGUACCUGCAGAAUAAGCCCGGCAAACUUCGUGCCAGCCGCCGCAGUAAG
rnacentral:rRNA from 1 species